rnacentral:rRNA from 1 species
GACGAACGCUGGCGGCGCGCCUAACACAUGCAAGUCGAACGAGCGAGAGAGAGCUUGCUUUCUCGAGCGAGUGGCGAACGGGUGAGUAACGCGUGAGGAACCUGCCUCAAAGAGGGGGACAACAGUUGGAAACGACUGCUAAUACCGCAUAAGCCCACGACCCGGCAUCGGGUUGAGGGAAAAGGAGCAAUCCGCUUUGAGAUGGCCUCGCGUCCGAUUAGCUGGUUGGUGAGGUAACGGCCCACCAAGGCGACGAUCGGUAGCCGGACUGAGAGGUUGAACGGCCACAUUGGGACUGAGACACGGCCCAGACUCCUACGGGAGGCAGCAGUGGGGAAUAUUGCACAAUGGGGGAAACCCUGAUGCAGCGACGCCGCGUGGAGGAAGAAGGUCUUCGGAUUGUAAACUCCUGUUGUUGAGGAAGAUGAUGACGGUACUCAACAAGGAAGUGACGGCUAACUACGUGCCAGCAGCCGCGGUAAAACGUAGGUCACAAGCGUUGUCCGGAAUUACUGGGUGUAAAGGGAGCGCAGGCGGGAAGACAAGUUGGAAGUGAAAUCUAUGGGCUCAACCCAUAAACUGCUUUCAAAACUGUUUUUCUUGAGUAGUGCAGAGGUAGGCGGAAUUCCCGGUGUAGCGGUGGAAUGCGUAGAUAUCGGGAGGAACACCAGUGGCGAAGGCGGCCUACUGGGCACCAACUGACGCUGAGGCUCGAAAGUGUGGGUAGCANACAGG